rnacentral:rRNA from 1 species
GACGAACGCUGGCGGCGUGCUUAACACAUGCAAGUCGAACGGAAAGGCCCUGCUUUUGUGGCGUGCUCGAGUGGCGAACGGGUGAGUAACACGUGAGUAACCUGCCCUUGACUUUGGGAUAACUUCAGGAAACUGGGGCUAAUACCGGAUAGGAGCUCCUGCUGCAUGGUGGGGGUUGGAAAGUUUGGGCGGUUGGGGAUGGACUCGCGGCUUAUCAGCUUGUUGGUGGGGUAGUGGCUUACCAAGGCUUUGACGGGUAGCCGGCCUGAGAGGGUGACCGGCCACAUUGGGACUGAGAUACGGCCCAGACUCCUACGGGAGGCAGCAGUGGGGAAUAUUGCACAAUGGGCGGAAGCCUGAUGCAGCAACGCCGCGUGCGGGAUGACGGCCUUCGGGUUGUAAACCGCUUUCGCCUGUGACGAAGCGUGAGUGACGGUAAUGGGUAAAGAAGCACCGGCUAACUACGUG